GGUCGGUUAGCUCAGUUGGUUAGAGCGUGGUACUAAUAAUGCCAAGGUCAUGAGUUCGACUCUCAUACUGACCA
rnacentral:tRNA from 1 species